CCUACGGGGGGCAGCAGUGGGGAAUAUUGCACAAUGGGGGAAACCCUGAUGCAGCGACGCCGCGUGAGGGAUUAAGUAUUUCGGGAUGUAAAGCCCUAUCAGCAGGGAAGAAAAUGACGGUACCUGACUAAGAAGCUCCGGCUAAAGACGUGCCAGCAGCCGCGGUAAUACGGAUGGAGCAAGCGUUAUACGGAUUUACUGGGUGUAAAGGGAGCGUAGGCGGGAAGGCAAGUCUGAUGUGAAAGGCUAGGGCUCAACCCUGGGACUGCAUUGGAAACUGUUUAACUGGAGUGUGGGAGAGGCAAGUGGAAUUCCUGGUGUAGCGGUGAAAUGCGUAGAUAUUAGGAGGAACACCAGUGGCGAAGGCGGCUUGCUGGACGAUGACUGACGCUGAGGCGCGAAAGCGUGGGGAGCAAACAGGAUUAGAUACCCGAGUAGUC
rnacentral:rRNA from 1 species